rnacentral:rRNA from 1 species
UGAGGAAUAUUGGGCAAUGGAGGCAACUCUGACCCAGCCAUGCCGCGUGCAGGAAGACGGCCCUCUGGGUUGUAAACUGCUUUUGUUUGGGAAUAAACCCUUCUACGUGUAGGAGGCUGAAGGUACCUUACGAAUAAGCAUCGGCUAACUCCGUGCCAGCAGCCGCGGUAAUACGGAGGAUGCAAGCGUUAUCCGGAUUUAUUGGGUUUAAAGGGUCCGUAGGCGGGUCUUUAAGUCAGUGGUGAAAGCCCACAGCUCAACUGUGGAACUGCCAUUGAUACUGGAGAUCUUGAGUGUAGUAGAAGUAGGCGGAAUAGGGCAUGUAGCGGUGAAAUGCAUAGAUAUGCCCUAGAACACCGAUUGCGAAGGCAGCUUACUAUGUUACAACUGACGCUGAGGG